CAAACCGACACAGGUGGGUGAGGAGAGUAUCCUAAGGCUAGCGAGAGAACUGUUGUUAAGGAACUCGGCAAAAUGACCCCGUAACUUAGGGAUAAGGGGUGCCACCAUCAGGUGGCCGCAGAGAAUAGGCCCAAGCGACUGUUUACCAAAAACAUAGGUUUCUGCUAAGUCGCAAGACGAUGUAUAGGAGCUGACGCCUGCCCGGUGCUGGAAGGUUAAGGGGAUCUGUUAGAGCAAUCGAAGCAGUGAACUUAAGCCCCAGUAAACGGCGGCCGUAACUAUAACGGUCCUAAGGUAGCGAAAUUCCUUGUCGGGUAAGUUCCGACCCGCACGAAAGGCGUAACGAUUUGGGCACUGUCUCAACAACAGACUCGGUGAAAUUGUAAUUCCGGUGAAGAUGCCGGAUACCUGCGACAGGACGGAAAGACCCCAUGGAGCUUUACUGUAGCUUGACAUUGGGUCUUGGUACUACAUGUACAGGAUAGGUGGGAGGCUUUGAAACCAGGACGCCAGUUUUGGCGGAGCCAUCCUUGGGAUACCACCCUUGUAGUACUGGGACUCUAACCAUAGGCCAUGAAUCUGGUCUUGGGACACUGUCAGGUGGGCAGUUUGACUGGGGCGGUCGCCUCCCAAAAGGUAACGGAGGCGCUCAAAGGUUCUCUCAGUACGGUCGGAAAUCGUACGUAGAGUGUAAAGGCAAAAGAGAGCUUGAUUGCAAGACAUACAGGUCGAGCAAGGAUGAAAAUCGGACUUAGUGAUCCGGUGGUUCUGCGUGGAAGGGCCAUCGCUCAACGGAUAAAAGCUACCCUGGGGAUAACAGGCUUAUCUCCCCCAAGAGUCCACAUCGACGGGGAGGUUUGGCACCUCGAUGUCGGCUCAUCACAUCCUGGGGCUGUAGUAGGUCCCAAGGGUUGGGCUGUUCGCCCAUUAAAGUGGUACGCGAGCUGGGUUCAGAACGUCGUGAGACAGUUCGGUCCCUAUCCGUCGCAGGCGUAGGAAAUUUGAGAAGACCUGUCCUUAGUACGAGAGGACCGGGAUGGACG
rnacentral:rRNA from 1 species